GUCUUGGUGGCUCAGUUGGCAGAGCGCUGAAGUAUAGAUCCAGAGGCCGUCAGUUCAAGUCUCACCCAAGGCA